CCAAUAGCGUAUAUUAAAGUUGUUGCAGUUAAAAAGCUCGUAGUUGAAUUUCGGGACUAAUAUGUCGGUCGUACUUUGUACGUACUAGCAUUAUUGGUUUCUCCCUUCUGACGAACCACGAUGUCAUUAAUUUGGUGUCAUGGGAAAUCAGGACUGUUACUUUGAAAAAAUUAGAGUGUUUAAAGCAAGCUCGCGCUUGAAUACAUUAGCAUGGAAUAAUGAAAUAGGACGUUUGAUUCUAUUUUGUUGGUUUCUAGGAUCGACGUAAUGAUUAAUAGGGAUAGUUGGGGGCAUUAGUAUUCAAUUGUCAGAGGUGAAAUUCUUGGAUUUAUUGAAGACUAACUACUGCGAAAGCAUUUGCCAAGGAUGUUUUCAUUAAUCAAGAACGAAAGUUAGGGGAUCGAAGACGAUCAGAUACCGUCGUAGUCUUAACCAUAAACUAUGCCGACUAGGGAUCGGAUGAUGUUAAUUUUAAUGACUCAUUCGGCGCCUUACGGGAAA
rnacentral:rRNA from 1 species